rnacentral:rRNA from 1 species
GACAGAGGAGGCGAGCGUUAUCCGGAGUCAUUGGGCGUAAAGGGUACGUAGGCGGCUAGUCAAGUCUGAGGUUAAAGACCACAGCUUAACUGUGGGAAGGCCUUGGAAACUGACUGGCUAGAGUGGGGCAGGGGUUGCGGGAAUUCCCGGUGUAGCGGUGAAAUGCGUAGAUAUCGGGAAGAACACCUGAGGCGAAAGCGCGCAACUGGGCCCUAACUGACGCUGAGGUACGAAAGCUAGGGGAGCGAAUGGG